GGAUGAGGCCAUGUGUCUGGGAAGAGGCCUGGUUUGUGUCCUUGGCUUUGACCACUCUCAGUCUGAAGGCCUUGGCUUCUUGUCUUCCGCAGUAGAACAUAGAUUCUUUAAGGGGUGGCCAAGCCUUCCUUUAGACUUGACCUGUGCCUUGUUCCAUCUGACACGGGAGGGUUUUCCUUUCACCAACUGGUAUUUUUAUAACCUUUGCCGGGCCAGGCCUAGAAGCAGAGGCCCAAAGUUCCAUUUUCAGAGUGACUGAAGGUCAAUACCUUGGCAGUGAGGAGCAGCAGCCGUGUAGCUACCAGCAAGGCCUUCACAGAUGACAAGAAUCCACACUCGGAAAGCUAAGCAUAAACAGAAGACACCCAGCAACACACACAUACCUUGGCUGUCAACUGCAAGAGAAGGUUGUAGGACCGGAAACAUUGACAAUGAAAUGAAGAAUUGAAGUAUCCAUUUCCAGCCUGUGCUGAGUAGAACCCAGUCUUCACAUUG
rnacentral:lncRNA from 1 species